rnacentral:rRNA from 1 species
CAGUCGCCGCGGUAAUACGUAGGUGGCAAGCGUUGUCCGGAAUUAUUGGGCGUAAAGGGCUCGCAGGCGGUUUCUUAAGUCUGAUGUGAAAGCCCCCGGCUCAACCGGGGAGGGUCAUUGGAAACUGGGAAACUUGAGUGCAGAAGAGGAGAGUGGAAUUCCACGUGUAGCGGUGAAAUGCGUAGAGAUGUGGAGGAACACCAGUGGCGAAGGCGACUCUCAGGUCUGUAACUGACGCUGAGGAGCGAAAGCGUGGGGAGCGAACAGGAUUAGAUACCCCAGUAGUCCCUGUCUCUUAUAC